rnacentral:rRNA from 1 species
AGUGAACGCUGGCGGUAGGCCUAACACAUGCAAGUCGAACGGCAGCACAGUAAGAGCUUGCUCUUACGGGUGGCGAGUGGCGGACGGGUGAGGAAUACAUCGGAAUCUACUUUUUCGUGGGGGAUAACGUAGGGAAACUUACGCUAAUACCGCAUACGACCUACGGGUGAAAGCAGGGGAUCUUCGGACCUUGCGCGAUUGAAUGAGCCGAUGUCGGAUUAGCUAGUUGGCGGGGUAAAGGCCAACCAAGGCGACGAUCCGUAGCUGGUCUGAGAGGAUGAUCAGCCACACUGGAACUGAGACACGGUCCAGACUCCUACGGGAGGCAGCAGUGGGGAAUAUUGGACAAUGGGCGCAAGCCUGAUCCAGCCAUACCGCGUGGGUGGAGAAGGCCUUCGGGUUGUAAAGCCCUUUUGUUGGGAAAGAAAAGCAGCAGGUUAAUACCCCGCUGUUCUGACGGUACCCAAAGAAUAAGCACCGGCUAACUUCGUG